AAACGUCAGAAGAAGAAAAGAAAGUUAAACAGUAAACCCACCAACCAACCAGUCAGCCGGGCCGUGUAGUAGUUAAGGCGCGCGAUUUUUCAAAUUACCUUAAGUCAUAACAAAAACGCGACGUCUUUUUCCAGUAGAUUGCUCUUAGGCAACAAUUUUCAAUAUUCCGUUGAACGACGCCGACGUGGCCCCUCUGGCAGAGCUCUAAGUCAUAGAUUGUAACCAGUCAUAUUUAAAGCACAUUAUAGUGGCCCACGGCUCCUAUCUUUAAAUACCCCAUACCCCAAGUUGCUUGAUGCAAUUACUUAUAUAAAAAAUUUCCAAAAUAAGAUGUGGUCGCAAGAGUGAUCCGCCCCGAACCGUUCAAUCAAUAGCGUUCGUUUUUGGAACAAAAAUAUGAACUGUGCGUUAAAUACCAGUAUGCAAGACGAACAGACAGAAAUGCUCGAAAUCUCUUACUGAAUAGAUCUAAAUCGUGGCUGCCAAGUCCUCGCUCACGAGUUCAAAGCUCGCAUACACUGCAGCUGGCUUUGAUCGUAUCUACAGUAACGUACUAGACUUUUGAAGGAAUAACAUAAAGAGUUGUACAAGAAAGGGAGCUAGUACUCCAACUCAAGUGGAAAAGCACUAAUUACUCAUCAAGGCGAAAAGUGUAUGCGAAGAUUGGAGGAUAAA